rnacentral:tRNA from 1 species
UUAAUUGAAACCAAAAAGAGGUUUAUCACUGUUAAUGAUAUUAAUGAUUAUUAUCCAAUUAAA